UUUGUUUUGAGAGUGAACAUGAGCACGGGAAGGGCAGAAGAGGGAAAGAUAAUCUUAAGUAGGCUUCAUGCCCAGGUUGGAGCCCAAUGCUGGACUCUAUCUCACAACCCCGGUUUCAAGAGCUGAGGCAAAAUCCAGGGUCAGACACUUAACUGACUGGUCAAGCUGAUGUCCCAUAGAUCUUGUUUGAAUAGUUUUUACUAAUGUAUGUUAUGUUAGCACAGAGCCUGUGUCUUCAUUUCUAAUCCCAGCAUGUUAAAUUGAAGUAUGGUUUUAGAUUAGAAUUUGCCCCAAUCUAUAUCCAAUGUUGGAAGACUUUUGUCAGUCAACUAAAGGCAUGAAUUUUGGGGUUAAGCUGGGUUCAUGUUAUAGACACAGUUCUUGGUAACAGGAAAAUUUUGAGCAAGUAUAUUAACUGUCAAUUUCAACAUCCUUAUCUAUAAAAUUUUAAUGAGUAUACACACCUCAUAUGGUUGCUGUAAGGAAUAAAUAAAGGACAUGAAGUAGUCUUUUGAAGAGUUAGCAUUCAUUACCAUUAUUAUUAUUAUUAUUUUUUAACCAUUAUUUCUGAGGACGACUUGAGACCUACAAGAGACACCUUUUUGCAUUCACCCUAUGUGGACUGGACCAUGCCCAAGGAUUUUCAAGGGCAGCACAUGGGGGAAGAGGGAAGCAUCUGGAUUCUCAUGACAGGCUGUAUUUACACUAGGCUUUGAUGUGCUGAUGGAAGAAGUGUGCUGUGAACAGGAAUACCGGUGAACUUAUAUAUGAAAGCAGCCUUUUAGAAGUCGUGCUCUAGGUUUGUGUUACAAGAGGCUCUGAUUCUUCAGGCUUCCCGUCUCUGUCCCCUCUGAGCUCUUCCAGGAUGAGAACUGUCUCCCAAUUACUAUAAUGACGGGCUGGGAAAAUGUCUGAAUGCAUGCUGUCACCAAAGUAAACGACCUGCGAGGCAGACAGCAAAUUCCGUUUGAGGCAGGAGAACUGUGCAAGAGAAGAGUCCACUUCAUGGAAGCAGAAAAAAAUUCCUCAGCAGGUAUCAGAGUAAAAUAAAAGUUACAUAAACAUCUUGAA